GGCCCGUCUCUUGCUCCACCCCCUCCACAGGUAGCCAACGGCGGUUGCCCGACUGAACGACAAAGGCGUCGC
rnacentral:ncRNA from 1 species